rnacentral:rRNA from 1 species
UGGAGAAAAGCAGGGGAUCGUAAGACCUUGCGCUUUUGGAGCGGCCGAUGCCUGAUUAGCUAGUUGGUGGGGUAAUGGCCUACCAAGGCUACGAUCAGUAGUUGGUCUGAGAGGACGGCCAGCCACACUGGGACUGAGACACGGCCCAGACUCCUACGGGAGGCAGCAGUGGGGAAUUUUGGACAAUGGGCGCAAGCCUGAUCCAGCAAUGCCGCGUGAGUGAAGAAGGCCUUCGGGUUGUAAAGCUCUUUCAGUCGAGAAGAAAAGAUUGCGACGAAUAAUCGCAAUUCAUGACGGUAUCGACAGAAGAAGCACCGGCUAACUACGUGCCAGCAGCCGCGGUAAUACGUAGGGUGCGAGCGUUAAUCGGAAUUACUGGGCGUAAAGGGUGCGCAGGCGGCUUUGUAAGUCAGAUGUGA